rnacentral:lncRNA from 1 species
UUUGCAAAAAUCUAGACUGAUGUCCCAAACUUCAUUUUUAAAGUUAUCCCACAGUAUACCUAAAUUUUCUGUUGUUUUUUCCUUGUUUUCGUAAUAUUUUAUUAGUUUUUCUAUAUUACAACAGUAGUCUCUAUCAUUCAGUAUUGAUGAGUUUAAUUUCCAGUAUCCUUUUUCCUUUUGUUUACUUUUUGAGUUCUGAUUUUUAAUGAAAUACCGUUAUGGUCUGUUGAUUUUAAUAUAAUAGGCCUUAUAUCUGCUUUGACCAUUUGUGAUUUACAUUCUUUACUUACAAGGAAGAAGUCGAUUCUAGUUGCUUCUAAUCUCCUAUUUUCUCACGCCACGUAUAUUGAAUUUGUGUUGGGUUUUUAUCUCUCCAUAUAUCUAUGAAUUUGAAACAUUUUAUGAGCGUAUU